CCUACGGGUGGCAGCAGUGGGGAAUAUUGCACAAUGGACGGAAGUCUGAUGCAGCGACGCCGCGUGGAUGAAGACGGCCUUCGGGUUGUAAAAUCCUUUUAGUGGGGAAGAGAAAGGACGGUACCCACUGAAUAAGUGUCGGCUAACUACGUGCCAGCAGCCGCGGUAAUACGUAGGACACGAGCGUUAUCCGGAUUUACUGGGCGUAAAGCGUCUGUAGGCGGUAUGGUAAGUUGGGCGUGAAAGCUCCGGGCUUAACCCGGAGAGGCCGUUCAAUACUGCCAAACUAGAGGGCGAGAGAGGGGAGCGGAAUUCCUGGUGUAGCGGUAAAAUGCGCAGAUAUCAGGAGGAACACCGGUGGCGAAGGCGGCUCCCUGGAUCGCAACUGACGCUGAGAGACGACAGCUAGGGGAGCAAACAGGAUUAGAUACCCGAGUAGUC
rnacentral:rRNA from 1 species